UACGUAGGGGGCGAGCGUUGUCCGGAGUUACUGGGCGUAAAGCGCACGCAGGCGGUCUGUGAAGUUUGGAGUGACAGUUGGUGGCUCAACCACCAAAGCGCUUUGAAAACUGAUAGACUUGAGGGCUUCAGAGGGACACGGAAUCCGGGUGGAGUGGUGAAAUGCGUAGAGAUCCGGAGGAACACCAAAGGCGAAGGCAGUGUCCUGGGGAGUACCUGACGCUCAGGUGCGAAAGCCAGGGGGAGC
rnacentral:rRNA from 1 species